rnacentral:lncRNA from 1 species
CCCAGGUGCCACUGCCUGCCUGAGUCACGUGUCGGGGGGGAAGCGGGAAGGCGUCGUCCUCCUUUCCUAGCCCCCCCAUCCGCCAUGUUUUCAGGCCGGGUCUGGCUCGGUCUUCCCCCGUAAGGAAAUGGCCGGGGAGCUCCAGGGAACCCAGGCGCCGUUGCUUCGGCGGAGCCUGGGCUAACGAGGCAGGGCAGCGGGAAAACCCGAGCACUUCUGCGCGGGGAGGGAGGCCAUGGCGUCCAGCAGUAACUGGCUGUCCGGGGUGAAUGUCGUGCUGGUGAUGGCCUACGGGAGCCUGGUGAGGAUCUUCCCCCACCCCAUUCCUGCUGUAGCGUCUCACCCAGUGGAGACCCUCCUCUUGAGCCGAUCCCUGUCUUCAUUCUCCACCCACUCACCUGCGCCUUUUCUGGGCUUUUGACUUCGAUCCCAGGAAUACCUGGGAGCUUAAGUCACAGACCCAGACCGACCCGCCCCUGGCUGAGAACCCUCCCCCUAAGCUCUAGGGCACAGACCCCAAGCCUCCCCACUAUUGGCUUCCCUAGAUCCACCUCCAUCGUCGACGUCCUCGCUUUCCCCCAAGUUUUAUCUUGAAGCCUCCAUUUCUGAGAGCCGCAAUCUGGAGACUUUGAAUGAAGGCAUGCCUUUUGUUGUUGUUGUCUUUAUUAAAGAUUCUUAUCGUAUCUUUUUGGACAGGUAUUUGUACUACUGUUUAUUUUUGUGAAGAGGCAAAUCAUGCGCUUUGCAAUGAAAUCUAGAAGGGGACCCCAUGUCCCUGUGGGACACAAUGCCCCCAAGGUAGGUCCUUAGGGCACAAAACCAGCAUUCUUCAAUUGCGUUAUAGGAACAAGAACGAGAUUUUCUGUGCCUUUUAGAGAUUACUUAAAUUCACGUUUCUUUCUCUAUUUACCUUUAUAGUUAACCUUAGUGAAUUGAGCAGUAACAGUCUUGGCAUUUGGCUUACCUGCCCACUGCUCUGGUACAGUAUGUAACUUUAUCAAGAACUUUAGUUUUUGCUGACUGCUGUAAAAUGUUUCCCCAUUCAUCUUAAUCAAUGUUUUUUGUUUGCUUUUUUUUAGGAUGGAUUUGAGAAUGGUUACAAUUAGCAGUAGAACAAUGAAAGGUUGUCUUGGCAGAACUUCAGGCUUAUUUAAGAGUCCCAUUAAGUAUCUUGUUCCACCAUUUGUGUUACAGAUAAGCCUAAGGAAAAGAAACAACUUAGGGGAUAACAUACAGAAAGUGAAUAACCUAGUGAUUUAUUACCUUUGUUUAUGCUUUCUUCUUGGGAAAUGCCUUCCUUUCCUUGGCUUUAAGUAUCCACAGAUAAAAUUUUGCCUUUUUCCAGCAUCCCAUUCUAUGUAUCUCAACUGCCUACUUCACAUUUCAACAUUAUUUGUUUUGGAGUACCAGGGAUUGAACCCAGGGGCACUUACCACUGAGCCACAUCCCCACUUCUUUUUAUUUUUUGUUUUGAAACAGCAUCUCACUGAAUUGCUUAGGGUCUUACUAAAUUUCUGAAGCUGGCUUUGAACAUGCCAUCCUGCCUCAGCCUCCCCAGCCACUGGGAUUAUAGGCAUGCACCACACACCCAGCAUCCACUUUGAUUUCUAAUAGGUAUCUCAAACCCAGCAUAUCUAAAUCAUAACUCUUGAUACCCCACUGCCAACCCUAUCUGCUUCUUUAAUCUUUCACUUAAAUGUACCUGCUGCCCUUACCAACUUCCUUUUGUUUGGCACCUCUCCCAGUCUCUGAAAUCUAGUUCUACUAGUUGAUCGCACACCUUUGCACAUACUGUUACUGUGACCUGGAAUGGUCUUCACUUGACUAGAUCAUUCAUUCUUUAGAUCUUAGCUUAUAUGUUACUUCCAUGAAAGAAGAAUGCUUACUGUGGAUGUUAAAAUAGGUCUCUUUGAGCUGGGCUGUAGCUCAGUGGCAGAGCGCUUGCCUAGCAUGCUUGAGGCAACUGGAUUCGAUCCUCAGCACCACAUAAAAAUAAAUAAAAUAAAUGCAUUCUGUCCAUCUGAAACUACAAAAAAUAUUUUAAAAACGAAAUAAAAUAGGUCUCAAUUUUCCAUUAUUACCCUGAUAUUUUCUUCAUAGCGUUUGCCACAAUUUUUCUUUUAUGUUAGUCUCUUUGUCCAAAACAUUCCUCUCAGCUGGCCCAUGGUGCCACACACAUGUAAUCCCAGUAAUUUGGGAGGCUGAGACGAGAGGAUUCUAAGUUCAAAACCAGCCUCACCAAUUGAUCGAGGCCCUAAGCGACUUAGUAAGACCCUGUCUCAAAAUAGAAAGGUCUGGAGAUAUGGCUCAUUUGUUCAGUCCCUGGAUUCAAUCCCUGAUACCAAAAAAGAAAUUUUUUUUUUUUCUUCUGAGAUCUUAAGCUUCAAGAGGGCAAGCACUUGGGUUUGGAGUGUAGCUCAGUGGUUCUAGUAUAUGCAAGCCCCUGCCUUCAGUUUGUGGCCCUGCAAAAAAAAAAAAAAAGUGCAGGCACCGGGCCAUUUUUUUUUCCCCACCAACGUAAAACCAAGGCCAACACAUAGUAAGUACUCAGUAAUUCAUUAUUGAGUGAACAAUAAGUCAAUGGGAGAGCCAAAGCUAGUACACAGUUCUCUCAACUCCUAGAGCAGUUCUUUGAUUAGCCAGUAUUAUUAAUCCUCUUGUACUUGUUCCUCUCUUUUUGUUACUGGGUAUUGAACCAAGGGACACUUGACCACUGAGCCAUAUUCUCAUCACCCCCCCCCCCUUUUUUUUUUAAUUUUGAGACAGAGUCUCUAAGUUACUUAGGGCCAUACUAAGUUGCUGAGGCUGGCUUUAAACUUGCUAUCCUCCUACCUCAGCCUCCCAAGCCACUGGAAUUAUAAGUGGGCACCACAGCGCCAAACCUUGUUUCUUUUUUUUCUUUAUAAUUUUUUUAAUAUUUAUUUUUUAGUUUUUGGCGAACACAACAUCUUUGUUUGUAUGUGGUGCUGAGGGUCGAACCCGGGCCGCACGCAUGCCAGGCGAGCACGCUACCGCUUGAGCCACAUCCCCAGCCCCAAGCCUUGUUUCUCUUUCUGACAUAUUACCUGGAAAGACUCAAGAAAGCUGUCCUUGCCUGAAACUUUGAACAGUGUAAUUUCCACUUGCCUUUCAUGGGUUGGUAUCUAACAUAUCAUUAGCCAAUCAAAACUUUGGCUGUUUAGGAGCCCUGAGACUAUAUGAAAUCAAGAUUGCUUAUUUGACCACAGUGGCACAUUCCUGUAAUUCCAGCAACUAUGGAGGCUGCAGGAGGAGGAUUGCAAGUUUGAGAUCAACUUGGGCAGUUUUGCAAGAUCCUGUCUCCAAAAAAGGGGGGGCUGGGCACAGUGGUACAUGCCUAUAAUCCCGGCAGCUCUGGAGGCUGAGACAGGAGGAUUUCGAGUUCGAAGCUAGCCUCAGCAACUUAGCAAGGUCCUAAGCAACUCAGUAAGACCUUGCCCCCCCCCUUUUUUUUUUAAUAUUUAUUUCAUGGUUUUUGGCGGACACAACAUCUUUGUUUGUAUGUGGUGCUGAUGAUCCAACCCGGGCCGCACACGUGCCAGGUGAGCACGCUACCGCUUGAGCCACAUCCCCAGCCCAAGACCUUGUCUCUAAAUAAAAAACAGAAUAGGGGCUGGGUUUGUGGCUCAGUGCUCACCUAGCAUGCGUGAGGCACUGGGUUCGAUCCUCAACACCACAUAAAAAUAAAGAUAUUGUGUUCACCUAAAACUAUAAAAUUUUUUAAAAAUACAAAAUAGGGCUGGGGGUGUGGCUUAGUGGUCAAGUUCCUCUGAGUUCAAUCCCUGGUAUCCACUCUCCACCAAAAAAAAAAAAAAAGUGGGGAGGAAUUGGGGAGUUAUAGCUCUGUGGUAAAGCACCUCUGGGUUCUACCCCCAAUACUGGGAGAUUCCAUUUGCUUUACAAAAUUUAUCUAAAUUCUCAUCCAUUGCUGGUAGAAGUAUAAAUUAUUAAAACCACUUUAGAAAAUAAUUGGGCAUUAUCAACUAAGAUUGAACAUGUACCUAGCUAAUCUAUGGCCCAGCAGUUCCAUAUCAUAAGGAAAUUAAUUUUUGCUCAUAGUAAUAGAAGUCAUGAAUGAAAAUGUUCAUGGUAGCAGAAGUCCAGGUUAAAGUUAGUGAUACCAGUUCAUAUUCUAGAAUGAUUUAAAAAUUAAAAAUAAACUAAAAUAUGUGAACACAAAGAAUCUUCAGAAUAUUCUUAAUGAAAAAAGUUGAAAUAAUAAACGUCUCCUUUAAAGAAAAAAAAAAGUUGCAAACAUAGUGAAUCUAAAAACCAUGCCAAGAGCCUGGCACAGUGAUGUAUACCUAUAAUCCUAGGUACUUCAGAGGCUGAGGUAGGAAGAUCACAAGUUUACAGUCAGCCUAGGCAACUUGGCACAAGACUGUCUCAAAAAAGGACUGGGGGUGACAUUCAGUGGUACAGCACCCUUGAGUUCAAUUCCCAGUACUAUACACACAAAAAAAUCUGCCAAGUCAAAAGCCAUACAUGGGCUGGGGCUCAGUGGUAGAGCGCUUGCCUAGCAUGCUGAGGCACUGGGUUUGAUCCUCAGCACCACAUUAAAAAAAAAAUUAAAGGCAUUCUGUCCAUCUACAAUUACAAGAUUUAAAAAAAAAAAAAAAGCCAUUCACAAGAGAAUAUGUAUCAUAUGAUUCCAUUUAUAUGAAAUUCUAGAAUGAACAUAAGGAACUAUAAAGAACACAUCAUGUUGCCUGCAGCCAACUAAGGAAGAGAGGGUGACUUUAGAGAACAUUUUGGGAUAAGGAAAUGUUGAUUGAGAUGCCAGUAAAUGGGUAUAUUGUUAAAAUUCAUGCAUCCAAGCCAGGCUGGUGGGGCAUGCCUAUAAUCCCAGUGACUUGCAAUUUAGCAAGACCCUGUCUCAAAAUAAAAUACUUAAAAAUGGAGCUCAGUGGUAAACCACCUCUAGGUUCAAUUCCCCAUACCACCACCAAUAAGUUAUCCAAAUUCAUUUGUCUUAUACAUUUAAGUGAAUUUUCUUUAUUUUUUAUACAAAUUCAACCUCAGUAAAGUUCAUUUUAACUUGUUGGGCUGGAGAUAUAGCUCAGUGUUAAACCACUUACCUCACAUUUGCAAGGCCCUGGGUUCAAUCCCUGGCACUGCAAAAGAAAACAGUUUGCUGAGGAAUUCAAAAAGUAUUUUUCCAUUUGUAUAAAGCUCAAAACUAGACAAAGUUAAGCAUCUUGUUUAGGAUAACACAUGAUAGAACAAUGAAGAGUAAGAGGAUUACUGGCAAAUGAAGGUUUGUGGUGGUGGCAAUUAGGAAUGAGUAUAUAGGACUUCAGAGUCUGAUUGCCAUUUCAUAAAGUGAAUAUUGGGUAUAGGUGUUCAUCUUGGUCUUUAUAAUUACUUAAAAUGUGCAUAUGUUACCUGUGGUCUGUGAAAAUAGUUCACAAUGGAAGUUUCUGGUAGAGUUAAACAACAAAGGGCCAGGGAAGUAGCUUGUGGUAGAGCACUUCCUAGCAUAUGAAUGAGUUUCUGGGUUCAAUCCCAGCCAGUAGGGUGGGGGGUGAGGUUACAAUAAAAAUUAUACCAUGGCAUAUACCUGUAAUCCCAGUGAUUUGGGAGGCUGAGGCAGAGGGAUGGAUUCCAAAUUUGGGGCCAGCCUGCCUUGCUAAUGUCUCAAAAAAAAAGAGUUGGGAAUGUGGCUCAAUGAUAAUGCACUUCUGAGUCCAGUUCCCACUACAAAAGGAAAACAAGGGGACUGCAGAUAAAUUUCAUUCAGUAGAGUGCUUGCCUCAAAUGCACAAGGCCCUGGGUUCAAUCCCCCAGCACCACCAAAAAAAAAAAUUAUUUCCUCAGGGGUUUGGCAACCCUCUUAAGUGAGAUGGAUGUGGAACUGAUGAUAGUGCUUGCUUCUAUCUUGAAAGGGCAGCACAAUAAUAGUAUUAAAUUUUUGUAGCAUGGAUGUUAAUUAUCAAUUUUUUUCCUCCAGUACUGGGAAUCGAACCCAGAGCCUCCCACAUACUAGAAUAGUGCUCUACCACUAAGCUAUACUCCCGGCCCUUUUCAUUUUGUUUUUGAGGCAGUGUCUCACUAAAUUGCUCAGGCUUGAUCUUGAAAUCCUCCUGCCUGAGCCUCCCAAAUAACAGGGGUUACAGGUGUGUGCCACUGUGCCUGGCAUGAAUUACCAAUUUUAGCAAUUAAACUGGGUAUAGUGGCACACACCUGUAAUACCAGCUAUUCGGGAAGCUGAGAGAGAGGAUUAGUAGUACAAAGCCAGCCUGAGCAACUUAGACCCUAUCUCAAAAAUAAAAAGGACUGGGAGUGUAGCUUUGUGGUAGAGCCAGUUUCAAUCCCCUGUGUGGCAAAAAUGAACAUUUAUUUUUUUAAAAAAUGUUUUUGUUUUAACAUGGAUUUCUAGAAGUCCUGUGGUCCACCAGGUUGGACAGUCCCUAGAUGUUUAUAGAUUAUAUGCAGGUCUUCUCCUUGGAUUUCUAUAAUAGAUUAUGACUUCCAGUUGUCCACUUUGUCCCAAUUUAGGAAGGUCUUUAUAAUACCUAUCAAGAUUCUUAGACCAGUGUAAAAUCUGGAAUAAUGCUGUAGAGCGUGAAGAAAUUCUGGCAAAUUAAAAUAUCUAGCUUAGAUAUGUACAGUUUGGAGAGGUUAUUAGAGAACCCCAUUCUUUCCCAAAAUCUUACAUCUUAUCUGGCAAUUUCAGUAACUACCUGAGCACUUCCAUUACUUCAUCUUAGUUGUUCACAGGCUCUGACCCUUUUCCAGAUUAGUGGGAAUCAGAGUACAAGGUAAGUGAUUCUGUAUUCUCUUAUCUACACAUUCAGGACUUGAAAGAGGAGAUUGAUAUUCGACUAUCCAGGGUUCAGGAUAUCAAGUAUGAACCUCAGCUCCUUGCAGAUGACGAUGCAAGACUGCUACAACUGGAAACUCAGGGAAGUCAAAGUAUGUUGCAAGCUCUUGGAGAGCACUUCAGUGAGGAGUCCCACAAGUUCAGAAUUCCUUUACACUUGUUGUAAAUAGCUGCUAACAAAACCUCAGUUAUUCUAGUUGUUGGCUAUGUGUCAGAUGCAGAAAGACAGUUUAUUAGUUUACUGGAGUUUGAGAAUUAUGUCUGAGACUACUCUUUAUUUCAACAGGUUGCUACAACUAUCUGUAUAGGAUGAAAGCUCUGGAUGCUAUCCGUGCUUCUGGUAAGGACACUAGCUAUCAGACUCCAUUCUAGAGCCUAAAAAGCCAUCUAGGGAACAGAGUAAUGAACCCAUUUUAUAUGUUAGGAUUUGUCCUUUUUGUAUAUCUCGACUAGUGGGAAUUUCCUGGAGUUUGGAAAGUACCACUUAAUCUUUUACAUAAGGAAAUUAUGUAGGCAGGUUAGUUCUUCUCCAAAAAGACUAGGGUUUUUUUGUUUGUCUUUUAAGAUUCUUGAGACCUUUAGUUUCCUGAACUGGAAGAUAAUAAUUUGUUUUUCCACAAAGGACUAGUGACAUCUGUUUUUUCAGUAAACCCAAGGCGAAUGAUUCUUGAAUAUUUUUUCCUAUUCUUUGACCACUUGUCAUAUAUGCGUCUAUCUCUAACGAAAAUAUAUAUAUACACACCCACACACACAUAUAUGUACAUAUGUAUGUAUAUAUAUGCACAUUUAUAUGUCAAAUUUACAUAUAUAUAUAUACACACACACACUUUUUAAUAUACGUAAAUUUUUUAAGGAUUGAAUCCAGAGGUGCUUUACCACUGAGCUAUAUCCCCAGCCCUUUGUAUUUUUUAUUUUGAGACAGAUUUGUCUGUUUUUUUUUUAAAUAUUCUAUCUCUUUUUUUUUAAAGAUGGGAUUUACAUCCAGCUCAUAUCACUUGUUUCAUUAGACCUAUUUCUAACUUGGGAAAAUAACUAGAUAUUGUCCCUUUAUCUCCUCAGAGAUCCCAUUUCAUGCUGAAGGCAGGCACCCCUGUUCCUUAAUGGGCAAGAAUUUCCGCUCCUACUUGCUAGAUCUUCGAAACACUAGUACUCCUUUCAAGGGUGUGCGGAAGGCCCUUAUCGAUACCCUGCUGGAUGGCUACGAGACAGCCCGCUACGGGACAGGGGUGAGCUGAAUGGCCAGUUUUUCCUUCAAGUAUCUAAAGGGAUAUGCCAGACUGAGAGAUCCUCAUCUUUUCUCUUUCCUAAGGUGUUUGGCCAGAGUGAGUACCUGCGCUAUCAAGAGGCCCUGAGUGAGCUGGCCACUGUGUGAGUUUGGAGGGGAACAUGUCAAAGGGAGCUGGUUAGAGAAUAUCAGAAGUAUUAGAAGUACUGGACUAUUCCUAAUAUUUAUGCAGUAGCUUUCAUAAAGCAGUAUGAAUGAAUAUCCAUGAUACCAUAAGACUAUUAGAAUUGCCUCUUGCCAAAUUAGAAAGAAGAUGCUACCAUAUAAUAAGAGAAUUUUUUUACUUUAUGUGCAUCUUUUUCUUUUUUUUUCCAGCCCAAUUAAAUGUCAAAAUUGGCAGAACCUAAUGAAGCAUUAAAUGCCACCCAUUUUUAUUACUACUUAAAGCAUUAUAACCUUAUCCGAAACAAAGGUUACCACGAGAGAGUCAGUUUGGGGGUUUUUGUUUGUUUACUUAUUCGUUUUGUUAUUGUUGUUGUUGUUUUGGUACCUGGGAUUGAACUUCAGGGGUGAUUAACCACUGAAUCACAUCCCCAGCCCUUUUUUGUUUUAUUUUGAGACAGGAUCUCACUUAGGACCUAGCUAAGUGGCUAAGACUGACUUUGAACUUGGAAUCCUGCCUCUACCUCUGAAGCCACUGGGAUUACAGGCACGCACCACUGCCCCUGGCGAGGGUCAUGACUUCUGUUUGGGAAUCAUGAUUUUCAUUAACGUGUUAGGAUGUUAACAGGAUAUUACACUUGAUAAUAAUAUCCUAAGAUAUGAAGAUAUUACCUAAGAGAAGGAAGAGGAGUCAUGACUUCUGUUUGAGAAUGUUUUAAAUAUGUACUCAACAUAGUUUCAUUAUGUUGUUUAUGCAUAUGUUUGGUGAAAAAAAAAGAAGGCCAAUUUAGAAUUAAAAACUAGUUACCAUCCAUGAAAAGAAUACAUCUGUUUUCUGUUGUGUUUGGCAUGACUUUCUCAAGACAUAAGGAGUAUGUCUAUUCUGUCUUCUCUCCGUUCUAAAAAUGAACUAUGCUGGGAUUUUUUGGUUGUUUUUGUUUUCUUUUUGGUACUAGGAGUUGAACCCAGGGGUGCUCUACCACUGAGCUAUACCCCUGUUUUUAUUUGGGGAAAGGUUCUCACCAAGUUGCCCAGCGGUCCUCAAACUUGGGAUCCUUCUGCCUCAGCCUUGUGAGUAGCUGGGGUUAGAAGCAUGUGCUACCACACCUAGCCUGAACUACCUUGUUCUCAAAGAAAGGUGCGGUGAAAACUUUUGAUUAGAGCAGUAAUGAAAAUGAUCACCACCAGGUGUAAUCCCAGCAGCUGGAGGCAGAGGCAGGAAGAUUGCAAGUUGAAAGCCAGCCUCAGCAACGUAGUGAUGCCCUAAGCAACUUAGUGAGACCCUGACUCUAAAUAAAAUAUAAAAAGGGCUGGGGAUGUAGCUCAGUGGUUAAGCACCCCUGGGUUCAAUCCCUGGUACCAAAGAAAAAGGCAGCAACAAGCUGGAAAAAAAUGUUUGGAGUUAGGCAGGAAAUCUGUUUUAAAAUCUUCUGGAAGAUAAAUACAAAUUCCACUUGUAUAGGAUUCCUAGGAAGUCAAAUUCAGAGACAGAAAGUAGAAUGGUGGUUGCCAGGCGUUGGGGAAAGGGGAAAAGAAAACUAGUUUAAUGAGCAUAGACUUGCAAGAUGAAAAGUGUUAAUUGGAGGUUAGUCGUGCAAUAUUGUGAAUGUACUUGAAGCUACUGAAAUAUGUUUUCAAAUGGUUAAAUGAUAAGUUUUAUGCAUAUAUUAUUACAGUUUUUUUUAAAUUUUUUAUUUUGGCUUCUAGAAAGCUUCAGUUGGUAUAGUAAAAAGAAUAUAGGCUUUGCAGUCUGACAACCUUAGGUUCAAAUACCCAGUCUGUCAUUUAAUAGCUUUGUGACCUCAUACAGGUUAAUUAUUGGACCCUCCAUUUCUUAACCUGCACAACUAGGCAAUACAAAAAUAUAGAGGGUGAUGUUAGUAAAUUAGAUGUAAACCACCAAGUGUAAUGUACUAACAUGUCAAGUACCCAAUAGCUGCUUCUGUUCUUAUUUUUUGAUAUUUAGCUUUCAGGGGACUUUCUUUAGAUUAGGAAUAUGUUCACUACAUAUACACAUUAGGUGAAAUAAGUAAAAUUAAAAGUUUUCUUUAGGGCUGAGGCCCAGAGGCAGAGAGCUUGCCUAGCAUGUGUGAGGCACUGGGUUCGAUCCUCAGCACCACAUAAAAAUAAACAAGUAAAAUAAAGGCAUGCUGUCCAUCUACAACUACAAAAAAAAAAAAAGAACGAACUUUUUUUUUUCUUUUUUAGUUAAACAUGGUGUCAGGAAGAAAAAAAAUUGAGCCAGAACUCAGUAGGAAAUUGGUUUCUUUGCUACUUCUUACCUUCUUUGUUUUUUAAUGACACUGAAGAUUAAACUCAUGGGUACUCUACUGCUAUGCUACAUCCCCAGCCCUUUUUGAAAUUUUUUUAUUUUGAGACAGAGUCUUGCAAAGUUGCCAAGGUUGGCCCCACUUGUGAUCCUCCUGUGUUAGCCUCCUGAAUGUAACUACAGGUGUGAACUACCACAUUUUACUGGUUUCUUUAUUUCUAAGCUCUCAGAUAGGCUUUUAGUAACUAGUUUAUAAGAUAGGUCAGAGACCAUUUGUGGCUACAUUUAUGGGAAAGGAAAGGACCUGAAUUGUAUUCUUCUGCUAGUCCUCAUUCUGUCCAUAACCUCCCCUCUUUGUAUUCUUUAGGGUCAAAGCACGAGUUGGGAGCUCUCAGCGACAGCACCAGUCAGCAGCCAAAGACCUAACUCAGUCCCCUGAAGUCUCCCCAACUACUAUCCAGGUGACAUACCUUCCCUCCAGUCAGAAGAGUAAACGUGCCAAGCAUUUCCUCGAAUUGAAGAGCUUUAAGGAUAACUAUAACACAUUGGAGAGCACUCUGUGAUGGAGCUGAAGGACUCUCGCUGCAGACUGAGCCAGACAUCUGUGAUGUCUACUGGGCAGCCCUCAGGAAAUCUGGCUCAGCAGGCCCAGGCUGUUUUAGCCAAAGCUCCUGCUGUGUCCAGGGUUCUUAGAGCUUGUGUCUGAAAGGUCAUUCCCCAACUUUUUCUUACAGGCAUUUUCAGAAUAUCAGAUAAGAUUUUAUUUUCCCCUCAGUAGAAUUUUUUUUUUUUCUUCUGUGUUUGAAUUCAGAUGUCAUUCUUAUUUCUGUCACAAGUUUUCUUAAAAAUCUUCACUUGUUUUUGGCCAUAGUCCACCUAUUUAAUCCCAAAGGUGAAAAGUAAGGUAUCUUCCAUGUCUGUCCCAUUGUUCUCAAUUGAGUGGGAACUGCUUGGUUUUAGGGUGUCUUGGAGUUGUUUAGUGGAAGAGGUGGGCAGGAUCAGGGGUGGGGUGAGGAAGUGUGUGGUAUGUGUAACAACUUACCCUGAAACUCCAUUUAAAUCAGGAUGUGUUGAAACAUUAACACAACUUUCCUCGUGUGCACUGAUCUGCCUUUCCACCUUCAUUCAACCCUCUUUAUAAAUAAAUGAACAAAAGGGAAUGUUCUGACACCUGGAAUAAUCUAUGCCGAGAUGCAAGAUGAUAUGGAGGAAUGGUUUCCCCUAAUAAGGCAGUGUACUGGUAUGGUUUUAUGGAUUAGUUAUUUAAUAAAAUGAACCAUUAAAAAACA